rnacentral:rRNA from 1 species
UCGGGAAUUUUGGGCAAUGGGCGAAAGCCUGACCCAGCAACGCCGCGUGAGGGAUGAAGUAUUUCGGUAUGUAAACCUCGAAAGAAUGGGAAGAAUAAAUGACGGUACCAUUUAUAAGCUCCGGCUAACUACGUGCCAGCAGCCGCGGUAAUACGUAGGCAGCGAGCGUUGUUCGGAGUUACUGGGCGUAAAGAGUGCGUAGGCGGCGAGCCAAGUUUGGUGUGAAAUCUCCCGGCUUAACCGGGAGGGUGCGCCGAAAACUGGUUGGCUGGAGUAUGGGAGAGGAAAGCGGAAUUCCUGGUGUAGCGGUGAAAUGCGUAGAUAUCAGGAGGAACACCUGCGGUGUAGACAGCUUUCUGGACCAAAACUGACGCUGAGGCACGAAAGCGUGGGUAGCAAACA